rnacentral:rRNA from 1 species
GUCGUGCACGCCCGAGCGCUCUCACACAAUCCAUCUCACCUUUGUGCAUCACCACGUGGGUCCCCUUUGCGGGAGGGCUUGCGUUUUCACAUAAAACUCGAUACAGUGUAGAAUGUUUCUUUUGCGGUCACACGCAAUCAAUACAACUUUCAACAACGGAUCUCUUGGCUCUCGCAUCGAUGAAGGACGCAGCGAAAUGCGAUACGUAAUGUGAAUUGCAGAAUUCAGUGAAUCAUCGAAUCUUUGAACGCACCUUGCGCCCCUUGGCAUUCCGAGGGGCACACCCGUUUGAGUGUCGUGAAAUCUUCAAAACCCUUUUUUCUUUGAACCAUCGUGGUCGGGAAAAGGAUUUUUGGACUUGGAGGUUUAAUGCUCGCCCUUUCUUUCGAAAGCGAGCUCCUCUCAAAUGAAUCAGUGGGGUCCGCUUUGCUGAUCCUUGACGUGAUAAAAUGUUUCUACGUUUUGGGUUUAGCACUGUCCCUUGGACGCCUGCUCCUAACUGUCUCGUUGACAAUGAUGGUGCUCCGGUCACCGCCGUCUACAUCGGCGGGAGGCUGGACCCACGAAAAGAAAACCUUGACCUCAAAUCGGGUGAGCUACCCGCUGAACUUAAGCAUAUCAAUA